UCCUGAAUUGACAGGAAACAAACAAAUGUACGAUAGUGAAAACUAUUCAAUACUGGAGUUGGACUAGAAAACGUGCCACUGAUCAAGUGCCUAAGAUC
ncrna:unclassified sequences RAGATH-20 RNA